GAUUCAUCAUCAUCGCCCACAAUGUGAGGAAUCUUUGCAAAUCGUAAAAAGUUGUAAUUCCUAGAAAAAGCAGUAACAGUGUUAAACAACGGGCUUAAUAUACAACAUUCCAUAUGCAUAUUUCAAACACCAAUUAACGAAAUUCGUGUGUUAAAUGUUCAUAAUAUUUAAUCAUAACUAUGUAAUUUCAGUUCUGAAAAUUUGACGUUUCUGUUUUUGUACAAUUUUUACAAUCCAUAAGAUUAAUUAUGUAUUUUGAAAUUGAAAAUUCGAGUGAUUCCAAAUGCUGUUUGGGUAGACUUUUGGGAAAUCAUACAAUCCUUUAAUGUGACAUACAUAUAGGGAACAUAUUCGAGUACUCAUUUCAUAGACAUGUGGGGGCCAUAAACAUUGUAAAAUCAUUGCUGCAUUCGAUUCGGAAACAUGAACCACAAAACAUUGGCAAUAAGAAAGAGCUUAUUCCUGGCUAAUUUCAUUGACAUCUGAGAAAUCCGAAACGGCGACGCUGCUGGUGCUAAUUAAAUGGCGAUCGGGCAUCUCGCCGAUGGAAGGAAAAGUGCUGCUGCCGCUGGCGCUGGACAGAGAUACCUCCUCCCAACUGACGCCGGAGUCGCCCUCGUUGCCCGGGAGAACGGGUGUGACAUCGCCAUUCUGGGGCUCCUCCUCCGGAGCCUGUCCAAUGCUGAUAGCCGGUGCCCUGGAGCGUUUGCCAGGUAUCUCGACCAUUUGGUUGUUAUCCGCGGCACUUCGUUUGCGAUCGGGAAUUCGAUUCUGCGACGUGGGACUCCAGUCCAUGGCAUGAUGCACCAAGGCCCGGAAAGUAAUGCGGAUCGGCUCGCUCGGUGGACUGUCCAUGUCUGAGGGAUUCCGCCUGGCCAUUUGUGGCGAUAUGAUCAUCGUGGAGUUGUGCAAAGCACUAGGGUGCGAGGUCAAAAACUCCAACUCGCUCUCCUGCCGAAAUCAACGAGUACCAACCAAAGCAAAGCCCUUUCUAGAUCUUCGUCCUGGGGACUGGUACUAGCAGAUUCCUGCAUGACACUGGCUAACUCGGUCAUUUCCUCGAUAUCCAUGCCUUCCUCGUAAACGCCGGCGCCUGAGCAAAUAGUUAGUGAUAUGUCUCAGGACUACUAAUAUAGUACAUCUUACUUUUAAGGAAGUCCACUAGUCUUCUGUUCGUUCGGCUGCGUAACUCCAUUUCUAUUGGGGCAGAGAAAACAACUUUUGGAGCAAUAUUAUUUGGCUACAAUGCUCUACCUCUUGUUCUUGCUGCUAACGGAACUUUUUGCCGUACUGAAAUCUGCUAUAAAGCGCCAUAUCGAUAGUUAAGAAAUGGGAUCACAAUCGCAGAUAAUGGUCACACUUAGAGAUGGUGCAAAAAGUUUUCGAGUCGCGUGAAAUAUAUAAAAAAGUGUUUUUGCAAAAAUAUGAUUUUCUAAAAAAUGAUAAUCUUCUUGCUUGUUUUAUACUCAGUAUACUUCAAAUGUAUGUAUGAUUUUAAUUGAUAAAAUUGUGUAAAUCUUCCAUGUAAUUUAA